rnacentral:sRNA from 1 species
ACAAACUUAUUUUUGUGUUUCAAUACAAACUUGUUACUUUAAUUACAAAAUUCCAUGAACUCAUAUUAGGCAAAACUGUUUCAAUUUUGUGUGAUAUUGGCAGAUGUUGAAGGAUAUAAUGUAGAGAGUGGUGGUUCCUUGUGUUGUAAUAACCACCCGAAAUUUGGAAAGUGCAACACAAACAAUGACAAUCAGAGAUGUAACCGUUGGUGUCACAAUGGAUGCGGGAAUGGAAAAGGCGAUUACUGCAAAGCUAUGUCUCACGGAGGACUAUGUCAUUGUUAUUGUUAACUCACAAUUA